rnacentral:misc_RNA from 1 species
GAUGAAGAACGUAGCGAAAUGCGAUAAGUAAUGUGAAUUGCAGAAUUCAGUGAAUCAUCGAAUCUUUGAACGCACAUUGCGCCCCCUGGUAUUCCGGGGGGCAUGCCUGUUCGAGCGUCAUUUCACCACUCAAGCCUCGCUUGGUAUUGGGCAACGCGGUCCGCCGCGUGCCUCAAAUCGACCGGCUGGGUCUUCUGUCCCCUAAGCGUUGUGGAAACUUUCGCUAAAGGGUGUUCGGGAGGCUACGCUGUAAAACAACCCCAUUUCUAAGGUUGACCUCGGAUCAGGUAGGGAUACCCGCUGAACUUAAGCAUAUCAAUAAGCGGAGGA